UUAGUUGCUAAAUCAUGUCUGACUCGUUGUGACCCCAUGGACUGUGGCCUGUCGGGCUCCUCUUUGCAUGGGAUUCUCCAGGCAAGAAUACUGGAGUGGGCAGCCAUUCCCUUCUCCAGGGGAUCUUCCUGACCCAGCGAUCAAACCCACGUCUCCUGCAUUGGCAGGCAGAUUCUUUACGUCUGAGCCACCA